AACGGCGAGUGAAGCGGCAAAAGCUCAAAUUUGAAAUCUGGCCUCUUCGAGGCCCGAGUUGUAAUUUGUAGAGGAUGCUUCGGGUGUGGCCGCGGUCUAAGUCCCCUGGAACGGGGCGUCGCAGAGGGUGAGAAUCCCGUCUUCGGCCGGCCGGCUGCGCCCGUGUGAAGCUCCUUCGACGAGUCGAGUUGUUUGGGAAUGCAGCUCUAAAUGGGUGGUAAAUUUCAUCUAAAGCUAAAUACUGGUCGGAGACCGAUAGCGCACAAGUAGAGUGAUCGAAAGAUGAAAAGCACUUUGAAAAGAGAGUUAAACAGCAUGUGAAAUUGUUGAAAGGGAAGCGCUUGCGACCAGAGUCGGCCGCGGGGGUUCAGCGGGCAUUCGUUGCCCGUGCACUCCCCCGGGGCCGGGCCAGCGUCGGUUUCGACGGCCGGUCAAAGGCCCCCGGAAUGUGUCGCCUCUCGGGGCGUCUUAUAGCCGGGGGUGCAAUGCGGCCAGUCGGGACCGAGGAACGCGCUUCGGCACGGACGCUGGCUUAAUGGUCGUAAGCGACCCGUCUUGAAACACGGACCAA
rnacentral:rRNA from 1 species